AAUCCAUGAUGAUGACACUUCCUUAACAUUGACUUCAAAUGCUCCUAUGCUUCGUACAAACACUAACCUUUGUAUUGUUUAAAAUUGAUGAUUUCUCAUCUGAGCUU
rfam:Gossypium hirsutum cultivar TM-1 unplaced genomic scaffold scaffold165.1, whole genome shotgun sequence